rnacentral:tRNA from 1 species
GGAUUAUAGCUCAGUAGCAGAGCAUAUGCUUAGCAUGCACAAGGUCCUGAGUUUAAUCCCCAGUACCUCCA